rnacentral:rRNA from 1 species
UACGGAGGAUGCAAGCGUUAUCCGGAAUGAUUGGGCGUAAAGGGUCCGCAGGUGGCAGUGUAAGUCUGCUGUCAAAGAAUGAGGCUUAACCUUAUCAAGGCAGUGGAAACUACACAGCUAGAGUACGGUCGGGGUAGAAGGAAUUCCUGGUGUAGCGGUGAAAUGCGCAGAUAUCAGGAGGAACACCGGUGGCGAAGGCGGGUCUCUGGGCCGAUAUCGACGCUGAGGAGCGAAAGCGUGGGGAGCGAACAGG